rnacentral:rRNA from 1 species
UACGAAGGGGGCUAGCGUUGUUCGGAAUUACUGGGCGUAAAGCGUGCGCAGGCGGCUUCUCAAGUCAGGGGUGAAAGCCCAGAGCUCAACUCUGGAAUUGCCUUUGAGACUGAGUGCGCUUGAGUACGAGAGAGGUGAGUGGAAUUCCCAGUGUAGAGGUGAAAUUCGUAGAUAUUGGGAAGAACACCGGUGGCGAAGGCGGCUCACUGGCUCGUAACUGACGCUCAUGCACGACAGCGUGGGGAUCAAACAGG